rnacentral:rRNA from 1 species
GACGAACGCUGGCGGCGUGCUUAACACAUGCAAGUCGAACGGAAAGGCCCUGCUUUUGUGGGGUGCUCGAGUGGCGAACGGGUGAGUAACACGCGAGUAACCUGCCCUUGACUUUGGGAUAACUUCAGGAAACUGGGGCUAAUACCGGAUAUGAGCUCCUGCUGCAUGGGGGGGGUUGGAAAGUUUCGGCGGUUGGGGAUGGACUCGCUGCUUAUCAGCCUGUUGGGGGGGUAGUGGCGUACCAAGGCUUUGACGGGUAGCCGGCCUGAGAGGGUGGACGGCCACCUUGCGCCUGAGAUAGGGCCCAGACUCCUACGGGCGGCAGCGGUCGAGAAUCUUGCGCAAUGGGCCGACGCCUGAUGCAGCGACGCCGCGUGCGGGAUGACGGCCUUCGGGUUAUAAACAGAUUUCGCCUGUGACGAGGCGUGCGUGACGGUACCGAGUAAAAAAGCACCGGCUAACUACGUG